UAUGAUAUGAUCUCCAACUUCCACCUCCAAGGUAGAACCAUUUGGCCUUUUUCUAAAGUUACAUUCCAUAUACUCAAUUUUGCUUCUAUUCAGGCGAAAACCAUACACUUAUGAGGCUUGUCUGCAAGUAUAUAGCCUCCCCAUUCAAUUUCUCAUGUGACUUCAAGCAUAACUACGUCAUAUGCAAAAAAUAUACAAGCAAAAAUAAACACAAA
rnacentral:lncRNA from 1 species